AUUGAACGCUGGCGGCAGGCCUAACACAUGCAAGUCGAGCGGAUGAGGGAAGCUUGCUUCCCGAUUUAGCGGCGGACGGGUGAGUAAUGCCUAGGAAUCUGCCUAUUAGUGGGGGAUAACGUUCCGAAAGGAACGCUAAUACCGCAUACGUCCUACGGGAGAAAGUGGGGGAUCUUCGGACCUCACGCUAAUAGAUGAGCCUAGGUCGGAUUAGCUAGUUGGUGAGGUAACGGCUCACCAAGGCGACGAUCCGUAGCUGGUCUGAGAGGAUGAUCAGCCACACUGGAACUGAGACACGGUCCAGACUCCUACGGGAGGCAGCAGUGGGGAAUAUUGGACAAUGGGCGAAAGCCUGAUCCAGCCAUGCCGCGUGUGUGAAGAAGGUCUUCGGAUUGUAAAGCACUUUAAGUUGGGAGGAAGGGUUGUAAGCUAAUAUCUUGCAGCUUUGACGUUACCAACAGAAUAAGCACCGGCUAACUCUGUGCCAGCAGCCGCCGCGGUAA
rnacentral:rRNA from 1 species